rnacentral:lncRNA from 1 species
CAAUGAUAAAGUGGGAAUUGCUUAUGAGAUUAUGAAGGCCAAGAAGUUCCGGAUUCUACCAUCGUCAAGCUAGAGAAACAGCAAGCCCAGCUGUGUAACUCAGUUUGCGUCCAAGGUUCUGAGAACCAGACUCACCAAUGCUCCAGUCACAAAAGGAAGAAGGUGAUGGAUUUACCAAAUCCAAAGAAAAAGAAUUCUCAUUUUCUAGAUUCUUUUGCUCUAUGGGACUCUCACCCGGAUAAUGCCCAGCUGAGUCGGUGAAGAUGGACUUCCUUUAUUCAACUGGAAAUAUGUGAUAAUUUUGGUAAUUGCCAAUGCUUUCCAGACCACAGGCCCCCAGACUGUGAAUUCCGUCUUAGUUCACCAGGGGGCAGUAUUGACGAUGGAAAUGUUCAGAAAUCAGACUUACGACCUGGGAAGACUUUUGUCAGGCUGUUUGCACAACUGAGGAAGACACUGAGAAGACAUGCAGUCCACAGUGCAGUAUCUGCUAGAGCUGAGGAAGACACUGAGCAGAUAUUGGUGGCUAUGGUGCAUUAUUGGCCUACAAACAAAUCUAUAAUGGAAGAGAAGAAGAGAAAGAAUGCAUCCACUGCACCAGAAAGCUACCACGUGGAAUAUGAAGACUGCCAAGGUCGCCAGCAAAUGGCCUAAAGAAGAAAAUGAGCUUUAUAACCCUAAAGUCCCGCCCCAAAUACAGUUUAUAAAAUAAAGCUGUGAGUCCCCGGAGCAAACUGAUGGGUCAGCCAGGACCGCGGGCUGGGUGGGGGGCGGGAGGAACCAGGCUCAGGACCAGGAACCACAGCCCACGCUCCGCAGGA